CGGGGCUGGGCGCUGGGUCCCCGGCGCGCGUCGAGGCUGCACCUGGAGCGCGCCGGGCCGCGCCGCCGGCGCGUCCUCUUCGUCCUCGUCCUCGUCCUCCGCGUCCGCGUCCCCUGGGGCGCCGGCCUCGCCGUCCUCGUCGCCCCCAGCGCUCGCGCCCUCGCCGUCCUCGUCCUCGUCCUCCUCCCAGGUCGAGUCGCAGUCCGGGUCGUCCAUGCUCGGGCGGCGGCGGGACCCGCGCUCCGGCGGAAGCGAAAGUGAGCGAAGGAGGAAGCGUGGGGGAGGGCCGGGGGCGGGGCCGGGGCGGGAUCGGGGCGGGGCCGGGGGCGGGGCCGCCGGCGCCGUCCGCCCCGAGAAGGCCCCCCACGCUCCGAGCACAGCCCCUCCCGGAGAACGUCACUCCGGAGGGCGCCCGCCCCCUUCCUCGCUGGGAUUGCCCCCAGGGUGUCCCCCCAGGACCCCCCCUACACGAUAUCCCUUCCCUUUGGGAGAAGACACCUCCCCCAGGAUGCCCUCUGGAGUAUACCGGCUCUACAGGUAUGUCCCUGGGGGAUGCUCGUCCCAGAGAAUCACCCCAGAAUGCCCCUGAGGACAACCUCCCCCCAGAGGAAGACGCCUACCUGCUGGAAACCCCCUCCUCCAGAAUAUCCCUCUUCCCAGAGGAUGUUCUCCUGGAGGAAGUCAACCCACCCCCUGGAGGAUGCCCACAGGAGGAUGUCCGUCCACAGGGCUGACCCCAGGAGCAUAACCCCUGGGAGCUGUCCUCCCCAGAAGGGAGGCCUCCCCCCCAGGAUGCUCCCACGCGGGAUGCCCUCCAGGUGUAGGCUGGGGCUGUGGUCUCACGAGAGGCUCCUUUGGAGAGCAGUCUGCUUCCGCGGUCCCCCAGCCUGUGGGCAGAAGUCAUUCUCGGGUGGUGGGACACGGAUCCUCGUGUCCCUUCACAGACGGUUCACAACUGGGCAGUUUGCUUCCAUAAGGCCAGCAGGAGGGUGUCUUUCAGUGUGCCGGGAGUCGUCUGCACCGUCACCGUGGGCCUGGCCUCUGCCCCUUUGCCACAUCCUAUCAGGGGUAAGUGACCUCCCACAGAUUCCCUUAAUCUGUGCCCUCACAUCUGCUGGUGGCCGCGGGAGUUGCAGCAAAGUUGGAGACCCGCCCCUCAACAUGCAACUUGGGAGUGGCCCGCCCAGGGCCGGGACGACGGACCCUCCCAGACGCUGCCCGAUUUCCGCUCGACAAGGAAGAGUCACCCCGAACCGCACCUCCGGCUGCUUUUGUGCAGUUUGCCUGGGGCUCCGCAGGGCGCGUUAACCCGGGAGCCCAGAUUUCUGCUGCAGAAGAAGUCUUGUGCUGUUUCCUCCCCUCUGCAGCCUGGGGACGCCCGCUGUGGGCUCAGGGCUCUGGACAGCUGGCCGCCCAGGCUGGGGCGGGGCUGAGCGGGGGGGGCAGGACUGGG
rnacentral:lncRNA from 1 species